AAAAAGAUAAGCUAAAAAAGCUCAUGGGUUCAUACCCCGUAUAUGAAGGUUUAAAUCCUUUUCUUUUUA
rnacentral:tRNA from 1 species